UAUGCUGUAGCUCGAGUUUUGUCUUGUUAUCAAUUAAUUGAUUUAUUUCUUACUUUUAGAUUAUUUCUUUAAUAUUAAAGAUUGGUAAAUUUUGGCGCUCUAUUGUUUGACACUGGGUGCUUGUUAUGUUUUAAAUCACUUGUCAGUCAAACUGCUUCUAAAACUUUUCGGAUGUCUGCUGUUGUGCAAACAUUUCUUAUAUAUGGUGAUUACUGAUAUGAAUUACCAAACUAACUAGAAGAUUCAUGUAUACCAUUUUAUUUAUUUUUUAUUUUUUUGCAGUUUGGCCUUGACCAUACACUCACAACUGGUGUUAUUAGGUAGGAAGAUCUGUAGUUUAAUAUUCACCUCUCAGUUUGCUAAUAAGAAGGAAUAUUCUGAUUUACUCCGUUGUUUAUGGCCAGGCAAGUAGGAGUUUUUUUUUUUUUUUUGAAAGAUAAUUUCAUGAAGAAUUGGCUGAAGCCUAAAGAACUACAACUCAGACCAUGAAAUGGGAAACAAAAAACUUCCACCUAAUACAUCUGAUGCUGUGGCCCAUUGCAUUACAUUUAGUUUUGCCCUAUUGAACACCUCUGAUACCCUCCCACACUUAUUCCUGAAGCAACCACUAUUCCUUCCCCCCCAAAUAAACCAUAGACCGGCCAAUAGGAAACAAUGGUGAUCGAAUAUUAAAAAGUUCGCGUGGGCCACAAAAGUUUUGGACGAAUCUAUAUCUUAGAGUUAAUCAUAUUUAUGUGAACACUAAGGACAUUAAGGAGACAAUCUACACAUACAUCAUGCCCGAGAACAUUUUGAAGAAGUUUAUUUGCAUAGCAGAUCUUCGGACUCAAAUUGCAGGAUAUUUGUUUGGCAUAAGCCCCCCAGAUAACCCUCAAGUGAAGGAAAUCCACUAUAUUAGUUAUCAAUUAACAUUAAUAUUUUGUAGCCAACUCAUCAAAUUGAAGAUGUGUAUUGUAAUAAAUAUUAUAUAUUUUUUUAUGUUGUCAAGUAAUAUAAAUUUUGUUUAA